rnacentral:rRNA from 1 species
AGGGCACCACCAGGAGUGGAGCCUGCGGCUUAAUUUGACUCAACACGGGAAAACUCACCCGGCCCGGACACUGGAAGGAUUGACAGAUUGAGAGCUCUUUCUUGAUUCAGUGGGUGGUGGUGCAUGGCCGUUCUUAGUUGGUGGAGUGAUUUGUCUGGUUAAUUCCGAUAACGAACGAGACUCUAGCCUACUAAAUAGAUCGUCGGCUUACAAACGCCGGCGAGACUUCUUAGAGGGACAGGCGGUGAUUCAACCACACGAAACAGAGCAAUAACAGGUCUGUGAUGCCCUUAGAUGUCCGGGGCCGCACGCGCGCUACACUGAAGUGAUCAGCGUGCUUUUUCGACCUACUCUGUCAAGAGUGGGGAACCCAAUGAACCUUCUUCGUGAUUGGGAUAGGGGAUUGUAAUUAUUCCCCUUGAACGAGGAAUUCCCAGUAAGCGCGAGUCAUAAGCUCGCGUUGAUUACGUCCCUGCCCUUUGUACACACCGCCCGUCGCUACUACCGAUUGAAUGUUUU